GUAGGCUAAUUUUUCUUAAGUGGAGUGGAUGGAGUUUAGGAUGGAGUGAGCUAAUUUUGUUAGGACUAUGUGUGAGCUUUCUAAAAAUCAGCACUAUAAUUCUUUAUUUUCAAAAUCUUAGGCCUUAGCUUCAGCCCUCGGUGGUAAUCUCAGAUCAGGUAGAGCCUGUCCAGCGGCAACGUAGCUCAACAUUUAUCUAAUGUCUCCUAGGGGUUGUUUGGUAUGCUUCAUUAUGCUUCAUUGAACUGGACUGGAUUACAUAAGACUUGAAACCCAUGUUUGGCAAUGGAAAUGAUUAACUUAAAUGAGAUUAUAUAGUCCAACAAUUGAAAAAACCCGGAUUCGCAUGUCUAAUAUAGCUAGCCCAAAAUUGGGUUCGCAAAAUAGCUCGUUCGCUAUUUUGAACAGGAGAGUCAGGCUGGAUAGCUUGAAUAAUCAAAACCCCAAAACAAACAACCCCCCGAAUUUCUUCUCCCCAUGACCACCAUCCUCAAGCCACUCGCAAAACCAGGGACGGACUUGCAGUGUGUACAAACUGGGCUAUAGCCCAGUCAAGUGUUUUUCUUUUGUUAUUGUUAGUAUUAAACACAUAUACUAAAUAAAUUGCAAUAUGAAUUGUGAGUUGUAAACUAAUGUUAAUUUUAAGCAUAUAUAAUCAAUUGUUGAUGACAUUGUUGGUGUAAAAUUGGACUCUUUAAAUAAAUAAAAUAAAAAUGAUAUGUCUUUAAAUUAAAUUUAUAUAAUAUUAUGAUUAAUUCCAUAAGUCUCCCUAUAAAGUUUAGCCAGACUUAAAAUCUAGCCCACCCCAUUUUGAAAUCCUGGGUCCGUCCCUGUGCAGAACCAUCUCUCUUCACCAUCCGAGCCACCAGCAGAACCCAGAACCAUCUCUCUUCUCCAUCUUAGUCCAAUUCGUAGCAGUUCCAAAAAAAAAAAAAACAGAAAUUGAUGAAACCAGAAACAGAGAGAAAAAGAAAUAUGGGUCUGCGUAUGAUGCUGCUCCUAUUUC
rnacentral:lncRNA from 1 species